UACGUAGGGUGCGAGCGUUGUCCGGAAUUAUUGGGCGUAAAGGGCUCGUAGGCGGUUUGUCGCGUCGGGAGUGAAAACACCGGGCUUAACUCGGUGCUUGCUUUCGAUACGGGCAGACUAGAGGCAUGCAGGGGGAGAACGGAAUUCCUGGUGUAGCGGUGAAAUGCGCAGAUAUCAGGAGGAACACCAGUGGCGAAGGCGGCUUCCUGGACCGGUUCUGACACUGAGGAGCGAAAGCGUGGGGAGCGAUCCGG
rnacentral:rRNA from 1 species